ensembl:lncRNA CASTOR3P CASTOR family member 3, pseudogene
AUCGGGCUGGGCUCAGGGAGGUCACUGAUGAACGGAGCGGGAUGCCCUGGAGGGCUUGAGGACGUGGCCCAAUGGCAGGUGGUCGGGGUGCAAGUUCUUCAGUCUGACUGAGACACCAGAGGAUUACACUAUCAUUGUCGAUGAGGAAGGAUUCCUAGAGCUGCCCUCCUCGGAGCACCUGAGUGUGGCGGAUGCCACCUGGCUGGCCCUGAACGUGGUGUCCGGCGGUGGCAGCUUCUCCAGCUCCCAGCCUAUUGGCAUGACCAAGAUCGCCAAGUCAGUCAUCGCCCCACUGGCUGACCAGAACAUAUCCGUGUUCAUGCUGUCCACGUAUCAGACAGACUUCAUCCUGGUGCUCAAGCGGGACCUGCCCUUUGUCACCCACACGUUGUCAUCAGAGUUCACCAUCCUGUGGUCAGUGGCUAGACUGUAGCAGCCGAGAACCUCGGCAUCACCAGUGGCUUCGUGAAGCCCAAGCUGGUCCAGAUGCCGGUCAUCCACCCACUGUCCAGCCCGAGCAACAGGUUCUGUGUCACCAGCCUGGACCCCGACACGCU